UACGUAGGCGGUUCGGUAAGUCAGGUGUGAAAUCCCGGGGCUCAACCCCGGAACUGCACCCGAUACUGCUGGACUGGAGUAAUGGAGGGGCAGGUGGAAUUCUCGGUGUAGCAGUGAAAUGCGUGGAUAUCGAGAGGAAGACCAAUGGCGAAGGCAGCCUGCUGGACAUUUACUGACGCUGAAGUACGAAGGCCAGGGUAGCGAAAG
rnacentral:rRNA from 1 species